CGGGGCCGUGGUCAUGCGAACCCCAAGGAUUUCUUUAUUCAGACAGCGUGGAGCGGCCUCGUUUAGAAGCCCUGUAACUUCAGCAGUGACGCGAAGUGACCAAGUGGGCAAUUGUGGCUGGAACUGAAUCUGUGGGAAGUGACGUUAGGAAAGAACGCAGAGCCCUGGGAGAGGAAGGAGGGGAUCCGUUCCUGUAACACUUCCCAGGAGGAGGGGGCAUGGGUGCCACCCACCAGGGUCACAUGAGGAAGCUCCAGAGACAGAAAGGAGAUGGAGUGAGAGGGGAAUGUGGGCAAGAGUCUUUACUGUGGUUGCCACAAGAAGGAAUGGACAAAAAAAAGGCAAAAUGAAUUUAUUUAGGAACGGCUGAGGAAUUGCAAUUCAGGACAUUCAAACUGUGGCAAACCAGCGUCAAGUCCAGAGAGCAAAGGAGAGGAAUGUUACUUUAUACAGAAAAAAUGAGGAUGCUUGAAGGGAUCUGUUAGAGAAAAGCAAGCUAUGCAGGUAAGAUGAUUUCUCAUUGGCUGGAAUGUAGCUGUUUCUCAUGAAUGGACUGUGGCUGUUGCUGAUUGGCUAAAAUUUCAGUGAUUCUGAUUGGCUCAUCUGUGGCUGUUUCUGAUUGGCUGGUCUGUGGCUGUAUCUCACUGGCUGGACUGUGGCUGUUUCUCAUUGGCUAAAAUUUUGCUGCUUCUGAUUGGUUCAUCUGUGGCUGCUUCUGAUUGGCUGGGCUGUGGCUGUUUCUCAUUGGCUAAAAUUUUACUGUUUCUGACUGGUUCAUCUGUGGCUGUUUCU